rnacentral:lncRNA from 1 species
UGUGGGCAGGCUGGGGGGUGGGGCGCCAAGUCAUCCGAGCGCGGCUUCUGCUUCUCCCUUUCCCUCACAGGCAUGCUCUACGGAGGGUAUGGGAGGCGAGGGCGCGUCUAUGAGGGCCAGAGUCCGCGAAGAGAGUCCGGCCCUUAGGCCUUUGGUGUUGAAGAAUCUGCUCCUCUGUCGGGUCAAGCCCCACUAGAAGUUAACACCUGUGGUCUCCAAACUUGCCUAUUUUCCUGUCACGCAGUUCAAGCCAAGAUUCAACUCGUCUUGAAUUUUUGUAUUUAGAGCCCCUACCUUCUCCACCGACUCCAGGGGCGCCCUCUGGCGGGAAGGGGCCUGGGGUAGGAGGGAACCUGAGGGAGCGGGUUACAAAGCAGAGAACAGCGGGAGCUCAGCAGCUCCCUUUGAAUUGCGAGGAAACCAAGACGGAGACGGGAGGUAGGAGCACGGGCCUGAAGCGGUCAGCCGACCCUGUGAGGCCCGCGCUGCCGUGCUACGCCGCGAAUCCGCCAGACGCCCCCGUCGGAAGGGGCAGGGACACCCUCGGGGGCGCUCUAGGGUUCGUGCUGCGCUAAGGGUGAAGAGGAAAAGUAAAACCAGCAGCAAGAAGACUGUAGAGAUCCAGCUGUGAGAAGACAGCGGCCCAUUCACUACAGUGGCUCUGGGUUCUGGCCUCUGGACUCAUGACUGGACCAAGCCCUCCAGGAAUCACUUUGUCUCCCCUCUCUCAUUCCCUGAUGAAGACAAGUCUCUGUGAGGUUGGUCAGUUUGUUAUAGUUGUGUAUCAGUCAUGUUUUUUUUUCUGCAUUUUAUGAUGCUUUGACAACUUGGGACCUGCCCCUCCCAGGGUUAAUUAAUUUCUGAGAUAGCAAACAACUUGCCUGUGAGCAUGCCUUUCGUAUGCAAACUAACUAGUCCAGAACUCUUACUUCAAACCAUCUCUAGCUGGUUUUUACACUUCAGAAGGCAAUAUUCCUCUGCUCUAAUCAUUCCAGGGCCAUGCAGUGGACAACUGAGGACCACCCCAAUAGCCCAGAGCCCAUAGAAAUUAUUCAAACCAUCCAAUCCUACCCCUGCUUUGCUCCUUACCCUUUCUCUCCCAUCCUUUCCCAUGACAACCACAAUCAAGGCUUCUGCCCGUGCUUUCCCUUUUCUCUUUCUGCCUCUCCUCUGACCCACAUUUCGAAAUCUAUGUGUCCCUGUGUGGUACUGCAAGCUCCCUCCUCCUGAGAACUGUGAGAAACAGACUACCUUUUCAGUGGCAACUGUCUCCUCAUGUGUUGGCCUCACCAUACCUGAAUAAAAACAAUAUCCCAGGUGCAUUUCCAAACAAGUGCA